rnacentral:rRNA from 1 species
GAUGAACGCUGGCGGCGUGCCUAAUACAUGCAAGUCGAGCGAACAGACGAGGAGCUUGCUCCUCUGACGUUAGCGGCGGACGGGUGAGUAACACGUGGAUAACCUACCUAUAAGACUGGGAUAACUUCGGGAAACCGGAGCUAAUACCGGAUAAUAUAUUGAACCGCAUGGUUCAAUAGUGAAAGACGGUUUUGCUGUCACUUAUAGAUGGAUCCGCGCCGCAUUAGCUAGUUGGUAAGGUAACGGCUUACCAAGGCAACGAUGCGUAGCCGACCUGAGAGGGUGAUCGGCCACGCUGGAACUGAGACACGGUCCAGACUCCUACGGGAGGCAGCAGUAGGGAAUCUUCCGCAAUGGGCGAAAGCCUGACGGAGCAACGCCGCGUGAGUGAUGAAGGUCCUCGGAUCGUAAAACUCUGUUAUUAGGGAAGAACAAAUGUGUAAGUAACUAUGCACGUCUUGACGGUACCUAAUCAGAAAGCCACGGCUAACUACGUG